AUUGAACGCUGGCGGCAGGCCUAACACAUGCAAGUCGAGCGAGCGGCGGACGGGUGAGUAAUGUAUGGGGACUGCCUGAUAGAGGGGGAUAACUACUGGAAACGGUUGCUAAUACCGCAUACUAACGGAUAACCCAUAUGGGAUAAGCUAGUUGGUGGGGUAAAGGCUCACCUAGGCGACGAUCUCUAGCUGGUCUGAGAGGAUGACCAGCCACACUGGGACUGAGACACGGGCCAGACUCCUACGGAGGCAGCAGUGGAGAAUAUUGCACAAUGGGCGCAAGCAUGAGGCAGCCAUGCCGCGUGUAUGAAGAAGGCCUUAGGGUUGUAAAGUACUUUCAGCGGGGAGGCGUUACCCGCAGAAGAAGCACCGGCUAACUCCGUGCCAGCAGCCGCGGUAAUUC
rnacentral:rRNA from 1 species